GACGAACGCUGGCGGCGUGCUUAACACAUGCAAGUCGAGCGGUAAGGCCCUUUCGGGGGUACACGAGCGGCGAACGGGUGAGUAACACGUGGGUGACCUGCCCUCAGCUCUGGGAUAAGCCUGGGAAACUGGGUCUAAUACUGGAUAUGACUCCACGGUGCAUGUCGUGGGGUGGAAAGCCUUGUGCGGCUGAGGAUGGGCCCGCGGCCUAUCAGCUUGUUGGGGGGUAAUGGCCUACCAAGGCGACGACGGGUAGCCGGCCUGAGAGGGCGACCGGCCACACUGGGACUGAGACACGGCCCAGACUCCUACGGGAGGCGAGCAGUGGGGAAGUCUUGUCGCAAU
rnacentral:rRNA from 1 species